rnacentral:tRNA from 1 species
CGCGGUUGUUUUGGGUACAACAUGUCACGGGUUCAAAUCCUGUCAUCCCU